rnacentral:rRNA from 1 species
GAGACUCUGUGCGCGUGCAUAUCAAUAAGCGGAGGAAAAGAAACUAACAAGGAUUCCCUUAGUAACGGCGAGUGAAGCGGGAAGAGCUCAAAUUUGAAAUCUUCAAGGUUUUACCUUGACGAUUGUAGUUUAAAGAAGUGUUUUCUGUUGGAGUUUUGGUAAAAGUUCUUUGGAAUAGGACAUCAUAGAGGGUGAGAAUCCCGUAUUUGACCAUUAUUUCCAGCUGUGUGAUACACUUUCAAAGAGUCGGAUUGUUUGGGAAUGCAGUCCAAAAUGGGUGGUAAAUUUCAUCUAAAGCUAAAUAUUGGCGAGAGACCGAUAGCGAACAAGUACCGUGAGGGAAAGAUGAAAAGAACUUUGAAUAGAGAGUUAAACAGUACGUGAAAUUGUCAAAAGGGAAGCGUUUGACACCAGUGUUGUUUAGUUCGAAAAUCAAUUCAAAUAGGUUUUGAUUCUAGUAGUAUUGACUUCAUCAGCUUUCUGCACUUUCUUCUCAGAUUAUUUAAUGCACUUUUCAGUUUAACAAGUCAACAUCAAUUUCUUUUGUUGUAAAAGAGUAAUAGGAAGGUGGCUUUCUCUUCGGCGCAAGUGUUUAUAGCCUUUGAUCUCUGCAAUCGGAGAGAUUGAGGUCUGCAGCGUAGAUCCUUCGGGGUUAGAUACAUUGGUGCUAAGCUAUAGCCUUGUAUAGACAACUUGUUGACUAUGCUCAGUCAUGUAGCUUACUCGCUUAUGCUAUUUUACCUACGCUUAGUAUGUUGACGAUCAGCUGAGCGCG